CAUUUUGGGUUGUCAUAAGGGGAAGAGAGAAAGUAUUACUGGCAUCUAGUGGGUAGGGGCAGGGAUGCUGUAACACCCUACAAUGAACAGGACAGGCCCCACAACAAAGGAGGAUCAGGCCUAAAAGUCCACAGUUUCUGGUUGAAGUCCUGCUCUAUCCUCAUGGCUUUGACACUGCUGUUUCCAAACGCCAGCCUUUGACAUUUCACUUUCUAUAAGAUUGGGAGGAGAAGCGACUGAGCGCACUGACCUGCUUGCAGCCUUGCAACCCGUCCUGGAACAGCUGCUCCCGUGGGGUUCCCUCCCUCUCUUUCCGAAGGAGCCCCUCCCCACCCCCACAGCAGAUUCAAAGUAGAGCAGCCUUCAUGAGUCAGAAAGAAAGACCAGCCAUUCUGAAGUCAACAUCCAAGUAAGAAGAGAAAGAACUCUGGAGUUUGGACAUGGCACGAAGCAUUGACGUCAGACACACCUGCUUUUCCAUCACACGCUUUAUGUGAAAUGGCAGGGACUCCACCAGCACCUCACAGGAGCCUCAGUGAUUUGAGGCAAAUGCAGAGAGCUCAAAACCACGCUGCUUCAUCCGCUUCCUCAACACAGGUUCACUGAGCACCUACUAUGUGCCACCCAUGCUUCUGGUCACUGGAGAGACCAAAGACCAAAACCGAGCCUGUGCCCUCACAAAACCCACAUUCUAGUGGGGCAGCUAGAUCCCCUCAAAACCAAAACCCAGGGACACAUUACAGUGUGUCGGGUGAUGAUAAUUGCUGA